GAUGAACGCUGGCGGCGUGCCUAAUACAUGCAAGUCGAGCGAACGGACGAGAAGCUUGCUUCUCUGAUGUUAGCGGCGGACGGGUGAGUAACACGUGGAUAACCUACCUAUAAGACUGGGAUAACUUCGGGAAACCGGAGCUAAUACCGGAUAAUAUUUUGAACCGCAUGGUUCAAAAGUGAAAGACGGUCUUGCUGUCACUUAUAGAUGGAUCCGCGCUGCAUUAGCUAGUUGGUAAGGUAACGGCUUACCAAGGCAACGAUGCAUAGCCGACCUGAGAGGGUGAUCGCCCACCCUGGAACUGAAACACGGUCCAGCCUCCUACGGGAGGCAGCAGUAGGGAAUCUUCGGCAAUGGGCGAAAGCCUGACGGAGCAACGCCGCGUGAGUGAUGAAGGUCUUCGGAUCGUAAAACUCUGUUAUUAGGGAAGAACAUAUGUGUAAGUAACUGUGCACAUCUUGACGGUACCUAAUCAGAAAGCCACGGCUAACUACGUG
rnacentral:rRNA from 1 species